UAUUGGCCGUUUUUAUAUUAUAACUGCUGGGAGCAAGAUGUCAUAGCUGCGCUGUGCAUUCAGUGACCGAUAUUUUUAGAUCAUUCUGAUUUCAUCUGAGACUAAAAUUACUAGUAUCCUACAUUAUUGUGAAUCUCUUAUGCAAUAGUGGUUGCAUUCACUAAUAAGACGCUAGGCGACAAGCAAAGAACCCUCCCAGGCUUGUCCUUUCCAUUACCAAUUAUAGUACUUUAUUGUAUAACAGUGAUACUUCACUUCUCAAUUGUCACAGAUGAAAUAUGAUUCAAAAGAUUAGAAAUAUUACAUUCAACAUU
rnacentral:sRNA from 2 species